rnacentral:RNase_MRP_RNA from 1 species
AGCACGGCUUCGCAGCGCAAACACAGGGAGAGAACUCCCAUCACAGCUGUGGGGAAAGUCCCCGUGCCUUGGGCAGAGAGUGUCAAUGGCAGAUCCGUGAGGUCUG